rnacentral:rRNA from 1 species
UACGUAGGGAGCAAGCGUUGUCCGGAAUCAUUGGGCGUAAAGCGCGCGUAGGUGGCUCUAUAAGUCCGUUGUGAAAGUCAAAGGCUCAACCUUUGAAAGCCGAUGGAUACUGUAGAGCUAGAGUCCGGAAGAGGCGAGUGGAAUUCCUGGUGUAGCGGUGGAAUGCGCAGAUAUCAGGAGGAACACCAAUAGCGAAGGCAGCUCGCUGGGACGGUACUGACACUAAGGCGCGAAAAGCGUGGGGAGCGAACAGG